CAGAGAUCAGCUGGCAGGAUGGGAAUGGGGAGCUCCUGGUGAUCUGGGCACUUUCUCCUUCAUGUCACUGACCUGCCAGGAGCCGCUUUAGGACAUGGAUCCCAAAGCAGCAAGAGGUACCAGGAAGCGCCGCUGAUCUGCACAGACCCCUUUGCCUGCUGCUGCCCCACAGGGAACAGGGUCCAGCGGAGUCGUUCGUGCAGUUCCUGGACAGACUGCAAGCCGUGCUCUCCCAGCAUGCUGACAGUGAUGAGGCCAAAGUUAUUCUGUUGCAGCUGCUUGGUUUUACAAACACAAAAAAAGAUUGUAGAAAAGCAUUGCUUGCUGUUCAUAACCUACAUACUUGUGACACAGCAGAGCAUGCCAAAAUGUGGGAACUACUGCUUACAACACUAAUUCUCUGGCAGUGGCUUUAACCGCGCACUUCUGAGUUCCGGACACGCGGGCGGGAGGCUCUAUUAAAUGUGGUUCAAUGGGUCAUUUUAAAAAGGAUUGCCCUCAACUAGGGGAUGGAAUAAAAAUAUCUAAAGAUAUCUAAAUAUCUAAAGAUUGUCCCAGGUGUGGAAGGAGAAAGCAUUGAGCUGUUGACUGCCACUCCCAGUACCCUGUGAAUUGGAAGGCUACACAGCCAGGAAACUUCCAACUGAGGGCCAGUCUUCAUGCCCCAGAGAAUCAAAAAAAAAGUGAGACAAGACUUUUAGCAAGCGAGCUCCUGCCUACAGCCGCAGGCAAUGCCAGGCUGGAUCUUGCCUCCAGAGAAUUCCUAACUCUAAUGUCAUGUUUGCUACAUUUAGCUCCUCCUGGAGUCUGGUGACCCCUUGGUAAUAGCAUUCAUGCUUUGUUGAUAUGGUUGUUCCUCUGCCACCAGGUUGGGACUUUUUGUACUGCCCAGAGUUAUUGAUUCAGAUUAUGAGGGCCAAAUACACAUUAUACUAUGCACCCCUAUGCCACCCUGCUUUAUACCUGCAGGUCAACGUACAGCACAACUUGUUCCCUUCUCCUACAAAACCCCUAGUGGCAAAGGCAAACGUGCCACAGAUAACUUUGGCAGCACAGGUCAGCCCCAGAUUUUCUAGACAAGCUCUAUUACAGCAGCUCAACCAACUUUAGCAUGCACUAUAGAUGGCAAAAAAUUUAAAGGGCUUGUUGAUAGUGGAGCUGAUCUCUCUAUCAUUAAAAGUAAUGAAUGGCCUAGUAAUUGGCCCACAGUCAGCUGCACUAACUGGGGUGGGAGGGAUGCAGCGCCCACCCUAGACAGAGCGCUCACCUUUGGCUUGUCCUUGGCCCUGAUGGGCAAACUGCCUGGAUUGCACCAUUUAUUAUUGCCUCUAUACCUUGCACAUUAUGGGAAGAGAUGUUCUGGGACAAUUUGGAACGACCAUACAAAUAGACUCAACCUCACAGGAGGGCCUUUUUCAUAGGGGCCAUUGAUCAGCCGUUCCAAAAUCAAAUACUGGACGUAUGUAAAUUCACAUGGCGGACUGAAGACCCUGUGUGGGUCAACCAAUGGCCCCUAGGAAAGGAACGGCUACUAAAUUUAAAAGAGCUUAUGGAAGAAUGCUUGUCUUUAGGCCAUAUCUGUCCAUCUUCUAGCCCAUGGAAUACCCCUAUAUUCUGUAUACCUAAACAAAAUGGCAAGUAACAAUUAUUAAAGGAUCUAUGGGCAGUAAAUGCAGUUAUUGAACCUAUGGGUGCUCUGCAGCCUGGGCUUCCGUCAUCCACAAUUGUGGAAGGAGCUAACAGUGGGCCUGUUAGCUGAAGGAGCAAGAAGCAAAGAAGUAGCUGGUAAGGAGUUGUUUUCAAGGCUGUAACUAAGGAGACCAAGAGAAGUGAGGAACAGAAGAAAGAUAAGAAGAGAACUUCGCAGCUGGAUGGAGUAUUUUUAGAAAGUUACUUAAGUCACUGUAAUUUUUCACCAAUGGUGUUAUGUUGAUUUAUUGUAGCCAAUAGUUAAAGUAGAAGAAGUAUAAACUAUCACAGAGUGUAUAAAAAGUCGGACAUAUUUUGUAUUAAAAAGUUGCCAAAUGAGACUGCUUCUAGUCUCUUUGUUGUGUCGUGACCGCCCCGACAGCGACAUCUGGUGACCCCGACGUGAUAAGAUAUCCUUAUCGAGGAUUGAACCCUUAUCGGGAUCCCAGCGAUUGGCAGCCGUGACCCACUGGGAAGGAGUGGGGGGGGGCGGUGGUUGGUGAAGCAAGUGUGGCGGAGAGAGCCAUAAGGAGGUCAGGACCUGAUUUUCUUCUAUCAAGACACCUGGAAUUAGGUGAGCCACCAACUACUAAUAAUAGGAAAUAUUUUAUUUCAAGAGGAAGAGACUGUCUUAACUACAUGGAAAGUUUUGUUAGGAAACAAGGAGAGUUGGACUCAAGGUUUUGGCACCAAUCCCGGUGCUGCAUUUAGUAUUAAAGCAUGGACAAAAGUCGGGAACAGAUUGUAGGAAAUUAUCAGGACAAGAAAUGAAAGCGCUAUCGGUUUAGCUGUUACGUGGGGAUCGCUCUUUGAGGCAUUGAAACAAUGGAAAGCAGAGUGGGAUGCGGUCGAAGACUUGGGGCUGAUAUCAGACACUCAUGGGGGGGUGCAAACGGGGCUUCUGAACCUGUUGAAUCUAUCUCUGAAGAACGUGCAAGUGCUGUGGGAACUUC